AGAGCUGACAGGAUUGAGGAUUG
rnacentral:piRNA from 1 species